AUUCUGCCUCAGUUCAACCCCAAGAAGAUCAUAGAUGUAUACCUGAGGUGUACUGGUGGAAAACUCAUGCCACAUCUGGUGAGGUCCCAAAAUUAGUCUUCUGGAUCUGUCUCCAAAAAAAGCUGCUGAUGACAUCAUCAGAGUAACUGGAGACUGGAAGGGUCUAAAGAUUAUAGUGAAACUGACCAUUCAAAACAGACAGAAACAGAGGGAAUGGGUAACUUCUGCCUCUGCCCUGAUUAUCAAAGCCCUCAACGAUCUGCCAAGAGACAGAAGAAAGUAGAAAAUCACUAAACACUGUGGGAAUAUCACUUUUGAUGAGAUUGUCAACAUCUCCUGACAGGUCACUACUGAUCUUUGGCAGAGAACGCUGUGGAACCAAUAAGGAGAUCCUAGGGACUGCCCAAUCUGUGGUCUGUCGGCUGCAGAGUUGAUGCUUCCACCCUCAUGAUAUCACAGAUGACAUCAACGGUGCUGCGGUGAAAUUCCCAGUUAG
rnacentral:lncRNA from 1 species